rnacentral:rRNA from 1 species
UGCCAGCAGCCGCGGUAAUACGUAGGGUGCGAGCGUUGUCCGGAUUUAUUGGGCGUAAAGGGCUCGUAGGUGGUUGAUCGCGUCGGAAGUGUAAUCUUGGGGCUUAACCCUGAGCGUGCUUUCGAUACGGGUUGACUUGAGGAAGGUAGGGGAGAAUGGAAUUCCUGGUGGAGCGGUGGAAUGCGCAGAUAUCAGGAGGAACACCAGUGGCGAAGGCGGUUCUCUGGGCCUUUCCUGACGCUGAGGAGCGAAAGCGUGGGGAGCGAACAGGAUUAGAUA